UCAAUACUUCCGUUUUUCUAAUAUAAUUUGCUACCAAACAUAGCCUUAGGUUUUUUCCUUCGCACGCCGCAACUCGUGCUCAGUCCAAUCGCGCCGCCGUAUUCCUCUUUUCCGGCUGCGCUGCUCCACCCUGUCCGCUGCUGUGCUUGGCUGCCGCAUUCCCUUGCGUGUUGUUUCUCUGCUGCCGCUGCUCUACGUCUCUACCUGAUCUGCGAGAGAUCGAUCUCGAUCUGACUCCAUCGUCGUCUGCGAGAGAUCGGGUUCGAUCUGGACAAGGACUAGUGGGAGCAACAUCUCUGUUCCCGCCCGGAUUCCGCCCAAACCGUCGCUCCCCGCCGGUCGUCUACAGCUGCCGCCGCCGGCCGCCAGCCCUGUCCGCUUGCCCACUCCGCGCCUCUGCUCUCAAGCUCGGCCGCCGCUGCGCAUCCGCCCCGCCCGUCGCCGCGGCCCGGUUUGAUGACAGUAAGUACGACGGCGUCUCUUUCCACCUCAUCAGCACAACCACCCUUGAGGCCCCGAUCCCAGCAGCCGACUGGGGAUUGCCUACCGUGUCAUGCUCGAGGCCAGACCCAUCAUCAUUAUCAUGAAGUGGUUGCACGACAUUGGGGUAUGUGCCGCACGAGGACUUCCCGCACCAUGCAGCUGCUAGCCAAGCACUGGCACAGAAACAUGGCAGGGGUCGAAGCCGUGCUGCCACUCCAAGGAGGAGAACCUGGUCGUCUACAAGCAUGUCCCCAGCUGCAGCCUCUUCCAAAUCCUACACGGUUGAUAAAAUUUCCUAUUCAGCUCAAAGAGGUCCUGCGGUACAGCCUGGGAAAUAAAGGCGAGUCAAUUUGCUAGGCAAGUGCAAAAACCCAGAAGCUUAUGAUUUUGCUGCUCUUGAGAUACACAUCAAUAUUGCAAUCAACUUUGACUGUGCAACUAUGUAGACAAGGGACUGCAUUCUAUAUCGAAGGUUCGAAAAUGAAGUUGCUUGCAUUGAUCCGCAAUAGAUCUUGACUUUGGCGAAAAAUGAGGUAUAUUGAGCUUAAUGACGUACGCAUGGUUACAUACAGAUAGAAGAACCGGUUGUACUGGUUCUACUUCUGGUUCAUGUGUAAUGAAUCUUCAGUAUAUAUAGUUCAUUCUCUACACCCGUAGAGUCGAAUGUAUAUGUUGGUGAGCUCUGUAAUCCAAACGCUCAUAAGACAGUAGAUGCUAUUUUGUACUCUUACCAGGUAAGUUGUUUUUAACAUUUUAUAAAGCAGCUUGUGACAUUUCUAAAAAGGUCAUGUAGGCGCAUGGAGGGCUCCUUUUUGGUCAUUUUCUACUCAACUGUAGAGCUUUAUUGCAGUAUCAUAAUUUUUCAUAUGUCGGUAAGGUGCAUGUUUUUUCAGAUUAAUAAGUAAAGUGCAUGUCAGUACUUCCAAAGGGAAAUUUUUCAAAAAAAUAGUUCUUUCCUGAUGGUAAUCAUUUUCAUACAAACUACUAUGGUUUGCUUGUCCUUUUGGUUUUGCAUCGUGGCCAUUCGAGAACCACUAUAGAAUAAUGAAUGUUCUUGAAUUCUUACUAUUUUGUUAUGAUUAUGAAUCUUUAAUUAUUGAAUUCCUUUAUGUUAUAGUAAGCUUGAGAUGAAACAUUUGGGGGAGAUACCGUUUUGAUAUACAGCUUUACUUGAUUUUUAAUCCAUGUGGUAAUGUCAUUAGCAUUCAUGAAAUCUUACGCAUACCAUACACUGUUGUCUCACAACAAUUGAUUAGUUUCUAAUCCCAUUGUUACAUUGUGAGCAUGUAUGGAGCCUUCUUAGGGCACUUGCAAUGUGGACCGUCGGAUUGAGUGUCCAAAAGACUUCCAGUCGUCGGAUUUUUUGAUGGAUCAAUCCUGGCCGUUGGAUCGAACUGAUGUGACUAGCAAUGAAUAGUGCCAGAAAUUUUGCCCCCGUUCUAUCACCCUCACUCUCCAUGACAGGCGGGGCCAAGUCAGAGUGGGCCGUAGUUGUCAGCGACAGUGGAGGCGGGCGUAACCAGUGCUCGUUCUUAUGGGCGCGGGAGGUGUGCCACCGCCUGUAAUUUUCGUUGGCCGCCGAGGGUAGUUUAGGGAUUUCACAAGGUUGGCCUUGUAUGGCUUGCCGUGGAUGGCUAGGGGACAGACAAGGGUGAGGAUGGUCUUCCCCGCCCCACGUAUUCUUCUCUCAGUCGCCGACUUGCUUCAGCCUCCUCCUCCUGUCCCUCGCACGUGUCCCGCGCGAGUCGAGGCGGCGAGAUCCAGCCAUGGCGGCCGGGAUCCAGCUCGCUGGCGCGAUCCUCUGCCGUUCCUGAGCCCGACAACGAAGGAGGUGGGCGGCCAUCCAUCCCCACGUAGUGGUGGACGAAGGAGGUGCACGUAUACGGCGAAGUCGACGUGCCUCCCCCGGAUCCGUGCUAGCCGACGGCGACGGCUGUGCAGCGAGGGCGCCGUCGAUCUCUCCUCAUCUACAGCCUGGAUGUGAUGGCCAUUGCCAGGUUUGAAGGUGGCCGAGUUCAUUCGCUUUGGAUGACAAAAAAAAAUGAGAACGAAAAUAUGCUCCCAAACAAUGCUUCAGAUCCUAAACAGGUGCAGGUUGUUCAAGCAAUUUACGAUGUCGGGGAAGCAAGAACUCAUGGUUUACGGAGGUCUAUAUUUGAGAGGUUUGACCGUGACCGAAGUGGUAAAAUUGAUAAAUCAGAGACGGGCGCUGCUCUUCUCAGUAUGGGUAAUUCAGUUUCUCCAACUGUGCUAGACUCACUCGUGUCUAAAUUCGACAGGAUUGGGACAUGAGCAAAGCAGUCGAAUAUGACAACUUUAUUGAGUGUUGCCUUACAGUAAAGGUAUUUUCCAUCAUUAUACUACAGAAAGAAAUAGAUUAUAGUUUGGUGCGCUAUUGCUAUGUCCGCCUCACCUUUCUACUCGGCAGCAUAUUGCCCCGGCCUGCGGGCACUGUCAGCUUGAUGGAUGAUGAUGAUUUAAUAGUCAAGGGGCUUCCACAGCUCUCUGCCAUCUGUGUUACCAUUAGCAGAAGGUAUAUGCUCGAAGAAGCUAUCAAGCGGAUCGGUGGUACAAUUCAUGCAUUCAAACUUACUGAUGAUGAUGACACCACAGGAAUGGCAUCAGUGAAAAUCAAUCUCCAGCCCCACAGCAAAAGCAUGUUGCCAACCCAAUAGGUGUUCUUUGGAGAAUCAACUCAGCUUGCCGGCGAUGCUAUUGAAUCAACAAGUUCUGUUGCUUUGGCCUAUCUGGUGACCAUGGGCAUAGUUACAAUAGACGAUUCCAACUCGGCGGAUUGGUCAUCAUAUGAUUGUGCAGAAUCCUUUCAGAAUCAGCUCGCCUCCUUGACCGCGACAAAAAAGGGCCUCAUUCAGAGAGCGGCGAUGGUAGCAGUCCAGCACCUAAAUGUGUCAACGAAUUAGAGAAUGGCCUCAACGACACUGCCGGCUCGCUGCCACCAAACGAAGAAACAUCAAACAAUGAAACGGAUCACAGGCCCAGCAAGAAAACAAAGUAUGACAUGGAAAGCUUGGCUCAUGAACAAAGCCGGAAGGCUCGCACUAGUCAAGUCGGUGCUGAGUGCUAUCCCAGUCCACCAGCUGCUCGCCUUUGCCCCGCCCAAGAAGACACUAAAGCAGCUCGAGAAAAUCCAGCGGGGCUUUUUGUGGGCCGGCCGCGCAGUCGCCAACGGAGGAAACUGUCAUGUCAAUUGGUGCCGCGCCUGCCGCCCCGUGGAAUAUGGUGGCCUUGGGAUCCGAGACCUGGAGCGCGCAGGCCUUGCACUACGGCUGCGAUGGAUGUGGCUCGCCCGCACGGACACGGACCGCGCGUGGCAAGGCCUUGAUCUCCAGUUCUCCAAGGAGGAGCGUGCACUGUUCUUUGCAUCCACUACUAUGAUGCUCGGCGAUGGCCGGACAACACUCUUCUAGGACGACCGAUGGAUCAGCGGCCAAUCUGUCCGCGAGAUUGCCCCCUGCUAUACCAAUGCAUACCCAAGCAGCGACGCAAGACACGAACAGUGGCCGAUGGACUCAACGGGAACACUUGGGCCCGAGACAUCCAAGGAACCAUCGGGAUACACGAGAUUGGCCAAUACCUGAUGCUAUGGCAGGCGAUACAGCACUUCACCCUAUCGGAAGAAACUGACCGACUGCUUUGGAGAUGGACAACAAGCGCUACAUAUUCGACCCAAUCUUGCUAUGCAGCCACCUUCCAGGGAUCUACAUGCCGCCACUCGUGGAAGCUGAUUUGGAAGAGUUGGGCGCCACCCCGCGUCAAAUUCUUCCACUGGCUUGCCUACCAGGACCGAUGUUGGACGGCGACAAGACUUGCCAGCCGCGGCCUGUAGCACCACCCUAGGUGCCUCCUCUGCGAUCAAGACCCGGAGACCAUCCAACACCUGCUACUGACAUGCCCGUUUGCUAAGCAGAUCUGGCACCGCACCCUAGACUGGACGCACAUCCCUGCCCAAACGCCGGCCAAUGACACCACCUUGAUGGACUGGUGGCUGCGGGCGAAGGCGCAAACCCCUCCAACGCUGCACAAAGCUCUGCAAUCGAUCACACUGCUCGUUCCCUGGAUGAUCUGGAAACAGAGGAACGAGUGCGUCUUUGACAAUGCAAGACCAUCGAUAGAUGCGCUAGUUGAUAGGAUUAAAGACGAGGCCAAUUGUUGGGCACAAGCUGGGGCAUAGGGGCUGCAAGUAGUCUUGCCCGCCUCCUGGGAUGUCCACUGAUCGGAGGAGCUAGGACCCUGUAAAUAUAACCUCCUAGGAGGCAUGUACUUUCCCACCUUUUCAAUGCAAUGAAACGCAAAAUCGCUUUGCGUUUUCUCGAAAAA